rnacentral:sRNA from 1 species
CCCUCUCCAGAUCUUGUGCAUAAACUUCUUUACAGAAGAUGGAUGAUGUGUUGCAAGGUGGUUUGGGCAGUGGCGGUGGCUUUUGCAGAUGAGGUCACUCCCACAGCACUGGCAUCCUGACUCAUUACGGCCCUUCUCUGAGCCCUGAGUGUGGGCCUCCAGUUACUGGCAUGCUUCUACAUACGGAUUGUGAACAAAUCCAAAAGCAGUGUAUGCUGCUUUCCCCCUUCUGUUAGAAACAGAAAGAACCAGACCACCAAAAAAAUAUUUUCUAAGAAAACAACAGUUCUGACUCCGUACCACCUGCUUCAAUGCAAUCCAGGGCUCCGGAGUGAUGCAACCCACAAGCGUGGAAGGGGCUGGCGGAUGGGCUGGGCUGUCUCGGGUUGAUCUGAUGUCAGAGCAGAUCAUGUGGUGCUCUGUAGGCAGCUGGGACUGGCCCGCGGGAAGCACAUGGAUUACAGUCUGAGGCUGUGAUGGGAAAGUCGGUCCCUGGGCUGCUGUCUCAUACACAUCAGCAGGCAGGGAAGCUGGGGACUCGGAAUCGCCCUGCUCCGGGCCCCUCCUGCUGCGUGGUCACAGGCAAUCGCAGAGAGAAGCUGCUGCUCCAGUAAGUAACUGAUCAGGGACAUGAAGAGCUGCUAUUUCAAAUGACAACCAUGUUGCAAAAGUCUGACAGGAA